AGAGGAGUGGCGAACGGGUGAGUAACACGUGGGUAACCUGCCCAUCAGAAGGGGAUAACACUUGGAAACAGGUGCUAAUACCGUAUAACAAUCGAAACCGCAUGGUUUCGUUUUGAAAGGCGCUUUACGGUGCCGCUGAUGGAUGGACCCGCGGUGCAUUAGCUAGUUGGUGAGGUAACGGCUCACCAAGGCCACGAUGCAUAGCCGACCUGAGAGGGUGAUCGGCCACAUUGGGACUGAGACACGGCCCAAACUCCUACGGGAGGCAGCAGUAGGGAAUCUUCGGCAAUGGACGAAAGUCUGACCGAGCAACGCCGCGUGAGUGAAGAAGGUUUUCGGAUCGUAAAACUCUGUUGUUAGAGAAGAACAAGGGUGAGAGUAACUGUUCACCCCUUGACGGUAUCUAACCAGAAAGCCACGGCUAACUACGUGCCAGCAGCCGCGGUAAUACGUAGGUGGCAAGCGUUGUCCGGAUUUAUUGGGCGUAAAGCGAGCGCAGGCGGUUUCUUAAGUCUGAUGUGAAAGCCCCCGGCUCAACCGGGGAGGGUCAUUGGAAACUGGGAGACUUGAGUGCAGAAGAGGAGAGUGGAAUUCCAUGUGUAGCGGUGAAAUGCGUAGAUAUAUGGAGGAACACCAGUGGCGAAGGCGGCUCUCUGGUCUGUAACUGACGCUGAGGCUCGAAAGCGUGGGGAGCAAACAGGAUUAGAUAC
rnacentral:rRNA from 1 species